rnacentral:rRNA from 1 species
GAUGAACGCUGGCGGCGCGCCUAAUACAUGCAAGUCGAGCGAACAGACGAGGAGCUUGCUCCUCUGACGUUAGCGGCGGACGGGUGAGUAACACGUGGAUAACCUACCUAUAAGCCUGGGAUAACUUCGGGAAACCGGAGCUAAUACCGGAUAAUAUAUUGAACCGCAUGGUUCAAUAGUGAAAGACGGUUUUGCUGUCACUUAUAGAUGGAUCCGCGCCGCAUUAGCUAGUUGGUAAGGUAACGGCUUACCAAGGCAACGAUGCGUAGCCGACCUGAGAGGGUGAUCGGCCACACUGGAACUGAGAGACGGUCCAGACGCCUACGGGAGGCAGCAGGAGGGAAGCGGCCGCAAUGGGCGAAAGCCUGACGGAGCAACGCCGCGUGAGUGAUGAAGGUCUUCGGAUCGUAAAACUCUGUUAUUAGGGAAGAACAAAUGUGUAAGUAACUAUGCACGUCUUGACGGUACCUAAUCAGAAAGCCACGGUUAACUACGUG